rnacentral:rRNA from 1 species
ACGAACGCUGGCGGCGCGCUUAACACAUGCAAGUCGAACGGAAAGGCCUGCUUUCCCUUGUGGAUUGCGGGUACUCGAGUGGCGAACGGGUGAGUAACACGUGAGUGAUCUGCCCCCAACUUGGGUAUAAGCCUGGGAAACUGGGUCUAAUUCCCGAUAGGACUGCAGGGUGGUGCCUGUGGUGGAAAACGAUUUUCUAGUGGUUGGGGAUGAGCUCGCGGCCUAUCAGCUUGUUGGUGGGGUAAUGGCCUACCAAGGCGGCGACGGGUAGCCGGCCUGAGAGGGUGGACGGCCACAUUGGGACUGAGAUACGGCCCAGACUCCUACGGGAGGAAGCAGUGGGGAAUAAUGCACAAUGGGCGGAAGCCUGAUGCAGCGACGCCGCGUGGGGGAUGACGGCCUUCGGGUGGUAAACUCCUUUCGACAGCGAGGAAGCCACCUGGUUGGAAGGGUGGUGACGGUAGUGGUAGAAGAAGCACCGGCUAACUACGUG